AUGAUGAUGAUGACAUAAGAUCACUGUGCAAUAUGAGUUCUUGGGAAGCAGGUGAUGGAAAGUGUUCUGAGAAGGAAGGAAGGAA